CUUGGUGGAGAACAAGAAGGCUCAGCUGGUGGUGAUUGCCCAUGACGUAGACCCCAUUGAGCUGGUGGUUUUCCUACCUGCCCUGUGUCGAAAGAUGGGGGUGCCCUACUGCAUCAUCAAGGGAAAGGCCAGGCUGGGGCACCUGGUCCACAGGAAGACCUGCACCACUGUUGCCUUCACACAGGUUAACUCGUGAGUAUUUAUGCACCCACACCUUACCCUCACAGCUUUGGACCAUUUGCCAGUGAUGGUUAAGAAUUUCUUCACCUGAAUCAACUAUGUGGUCACACUGUUGUCUGAGGCAAAAAGGCAGGGAGGGAAGGGUUUAUUACUCCUGCUUCUUAAAACAGUAACAAGACCUUCCUCAUUGCCUUUCCAGGGAAGACAAGGGUGCUCUGGCUAAGCUGGUGGAAGCUAUUAGGACCAAUUAUAAUGACAGAUAUGAUGAGAUCCGUCGCCACUGGGGAGGCAAUGUCCUGGGUCCUAAGUCUGUGGCUCGCAUUGCCAAGCUGGAAAAAGCAAAGGCUAAAGAACUCGCCACUAAAUUGGGUUAAAUGUACACUAAAUUUUCUG